UCUCACCACAGCUCUUCCGAGCUCUCCCUCUCUCCCCCCCCUUUGCUUUUUAGUGGCGGAUAUCACCGGCGGGACUAGGAUCGGCUCCGACGAUGGUCACCAAAACACAGAUCCGAUAAAGCACAGUAGACGGCCUAGCGACGACAACAUUCCGGCGACAACUUUUAGGCAACGCUAUUUUCACCAACCAACUCCGACAACAAAAUUGACGGUACCAUAAGCACGCAGAAUUACCCCGGUGACAUCUAAACUUUGAUAUUUAGAUAUUUGCACUAGUUAAUAUUUAGAUAUUUGCACUACUCGGAUUCGGCGAACUGGUUCGAUGGACGUCGGUGGUGAAGGCGGUGGAGCCAGAAAAUCCAGGUGGGGGUCUCUACCGGAUAUUGCAACUACUGUCCAGAUUUGAGCCGGCGACUUUCCGGCAAAGUGAUUCCGGCGACCUAAUUUGCUGGGUUCCAGCACAACAAGCAAGAGCAAAUUACAUGAUAUACGUAUUUCG
rnacentral:lncRNA from 1 species